GACGAACGCUGGCGGCGUGCUUAACACAUGCAAGUCGAACGGUGAACGAGGGAGCUUGCUCCCUCCGGAUCAGUGGCGAACGGGUGAGUAACACGUGAGCAAUCUGCCCCGAACUCUGGGAUAAGCGUUGGAAACGACGUCUAAUACCGGAUACGACGCGGGAGGGCAUCCUCUCCGCGUGGAAAGAACUUCGGUUCGGGAUGAGCUCGCGGCCUAUCAGCUUGUUGGUGAGGUAACGGCUCACCAAGGCGACGACGGGUAGCCGGCCUGAGAGGGUGACCGGCCACACUGGGACUGAGACACGGCCCAGACUCCUACGGGAGGCAGCAGUGGGAAUAUUGCACAAUGGGCGCAAGCCUGAUGCAGCAACGCCGCGUGAGGGACGACGGCCUUCGGGUUGUAAACCUCUUUUAGCAGGGAAGAAGCGAAAGUGACGGUACCUGCAGAAAAAGCACCGGCUAACUACGUG
rnacentral:rRNA from 1 species